AUUGAACGCUGGCGGCAUGCCUUACACAUGCAAGUCGAACGGCAGCACGGGGGCAACCCUGGUGGCGAGUGGCGAACGGGUGAGUAAUACAUCGGAACGUGCCCUGUCGUGGGGGAUAACCAGUCGAAAGACUGGCUAAUACCGCAUGAGAACGAGAGAUGAAAGCAGGGGACCGCAAGGCCUUGCGCGAUUGGAGCGGCCGAUGGCGGAUUAGCUAGUUGGCGGGGUAAAAGCCCACCAAGGCGACGAUCCGUAGCUGGUUUGAGAGAACGACCAGCCAGACUGGGACUGAGACACGGCCCAGACUCCUACGGGAGGCAGCGGUGGGGAAUUUUGGACAAUGGGGGCAACCCUGAUCCAGCCAUGCCGCGUGUGUGAAGAAGGCCUUCGGGUUGUAAAGCACUUUCGGACGGAACGAAAUCGCACGGGUGAAUAUCCCGGGUGGAUGACGGUACUGUAAGAAGAAGCACCGGCUAACUACGUGCCAGCCGCCGCGGUAA
rnacentral:rRNA from 1 species